AGAGUUUGAUCCUGGCUCAGGAUGAACGCUGGCGGCGUGCUUAACACAUGCAAGUCGAACGGAGAGAAAGUGCUUGCACUUUCUCUUAGUGGCGGACGGGCGAGUAACGCGUGGGUAACCUGCCCUAUGCAGGGGGAUAACGUUUGGAAACGAACGCUAAUACCGCAUAAUCUAUGAGAGUCGCAUGACACGCAUAGCAAAGAUUUAUCAGCAUAGGAUGGACCCGCGUUGGAUUAGCUAGUUGGUGAGAUAAUAGCCCACCAAGGCGACGAUCCAUAGCCGGCCUGAGAGGGUGAACGGCCACACUGGGACUGAGACACGGCCCAGACUCCUACGGGAGGCAGCAGUGGGGAAUAUUGCACAAUGGGCGAAAGCCUGAUGCAGCGACGCCGCGUGAAGGAUGAAGGUCUUCGGAUUGUAAACUUCUAUCAGCAGGGAAGAAAGCGAGUUGAAAAACACUCGCCUGACGGUACCUGACUAAGAAGCCCCGGCUAACUACGUGCCAGCAGCCGCGGUAAUACGUAGGGGGCAAGCGUUAUCCGGAAUUACUGGGUGUAAAGGGUGCGUAGGCGGCCAUGCAAGUCAGAUGUGAGAACUCAAAGCUCAACUUUGAGAUUGCAUCUGAAACUUCG
rnacentral:rRNA from 1 species